AUGAUGAAGAGUUUGAUCCCUGGCUCAGGAUGAACGCCAGCGGCAGGCUUAACACAUGCAAGUCGAGGGGCAGGAAAAAUAUUGAGACCGGCGCAUCGGGUGCGUAAUGCGUAUGCAAUCUACCUUGCAUAAUGAGUACCCAGAGAAAUUGGAUUAGUUCAUAGCAGGCACCGGGCAUCGAGAUACUAUUAAAGUUAUAACGGCAAAAAGAUGAGCACGCGUCCCAUUAGCUAGUUGGUAAGGUAACGGCUUACCAAGGCGCACAUGCCGGUAGGGGUCCCGAGAGGGAGAUCCCCCACACCCUGGUACUUUCGCGAGACAAUGGACCGACCCCUGGAGUGCAGAGCAGGAGAAUAUUGCAGGCAAGGAACAAGGUUAGCACAAUGGGCGCAAGCCUUGAUCCAGCUAUGCGUGGGUGGCUUUGGGGCCAUCUAUGGUGUGUAAACCGCUUUUUGUACGAGAAGAAACACUCCUUCGUGAAGGGCUUGACGGUAUCGUAAGAAUAAGGAUCGGCUACCCGUGCCAGCCGCGGUAAUAGGGAUCCAAGGUUAUCCGGAAUCAUUGGGUUUAAAGGGUCCUGGGCAGGCCAGUAAGUCAGGUGAAAUCUCCCGGCUCAACUGGGAAAUGGCCAUUGAUACUGCUGGUCUUGGAUUAUUAGGAAGUAACUUCAGAAUGUGUAAGUGUAGCGGAGAAAUGCUUUUAGAGAUUACAUGGAAUACCAAAUGGCGAAGGCAGGUUACUACUAAUGGAUUGACGCUGGUAGAGCGAAAGCGCGUGGGUAGCGAACGGCAGAUUUAGAUACCUGCAGUCCACGCCGUAAACGAUGCGUUACGCAGCUGUUGGGGGCAACUUCAGUGGCUAAGCGAAAGUGAUAAGUAUCCCCACCUGGGGAGUACAGUUCGCAAAGAAUGAAACUCGAAGGAAUUGACGAAGCCCCACAAGCGGUGGAGCAUGUGGUUUAAUUCAUGAUACGCGAGGAACCUGACCAAGGCUUAAAUGUAGGUUUGGACCGGUUGGGCACAGUCUUCGUAAGACAAAUUACAAGGUGCCGCAUGGUUGUCGUCAGCUCGUGCCGUGAGGUCAGGUUAAGUCCAUAACAGAGCAACCCUAAGUUGUUGGUUGCCGAGUUAAGUCGGGAACCCUAACAAGACUGCCAGUGCAAACAGGGGAAGGUGGGGAUGACGUCAAAUCACCAAGGCCCUUACGCCUUGGGCUGCAACGUGCUACAAUGGGCGGUACAGAAAGCAACCACCUCGCGAGAGGGGGCGGAUCAGAAACCGUUCUCUCGAGUUCGGAUCGGAGUCCAACUCGACUCCGUGAAGCUGGAAUCGCUAGUAAUCGGAUAUCAGCCAUGAUCCGGGUGAAUACGUUCCCCCUGGGCCUUGUACACACCGCCCGUCAAGCCAUGGAAGCUGGGGGUGCCUGAAAUUCAGGUGACCGCAAGAGCUGCCUAGGGUAAAACUGGUAACUAGGGGCUAUAGUCUUAACAAAGUAGGCGUACCGGAAGGUGCUGGCUGGAACACCUCCUUU
rnacentral:rRNA from 1 species